GACGAACGCUGGCGGCGUGCUUAACACAUGCAAGUCGAACGGAAAGGCCCUGCUUUUGUGGGGUGCUCGAGUGGCGAACGGGUGAGUAACACGUGAGUAACCUGCCCUUGACUUUGGGAUAACUUCAGGAAACUGGGGCUAAUACCGGAUAGGAGCUCCUGCUGCAUGGUGGGGGUUGGAAAGUUUCGGCGGUUGGGGAUGGACGCGCGGCUUAUCAGCUUGUUGGUGGGGUGGUGGCUUACCAAGGCUUUGACGGGUAGCCGGCCUGAGAGGGUGGACGGCCACAUUGGGCCUGAGAUACGGCCCAGACUCCUACGGGAGGCAGCAGUGGGGAAUAUUGCCCAAUGGGCGGAAGCCUGAUGCAGCAACGCCGCGUGCGGGAUGACGGCCUUCGGGUUGUAAACCGCUUUCGCCUGUGACGAAGCGUGAGUGACGGUAAUGGGUAAAGAAGCACCGGCUAACUACGUG
rnacentral:rRNA from 1 species